rnacentral:rRNA from 1 species
UACGGGGGGGGCAAGCGUUGUUCGGAAUUACUGGGCGUAAAGGGCUCGUAGGCGGCCAACUCAGUCGGACGUGAAAUCCCUCGGCUUAACCGGGGAAUGGCGUCCGAUACUGGAUGGCUUGAGUUUGGGAGAGGGAUGCGGAAUUCCAGGUGUAGCGGUGAAAUGCGUAGAUAUCUGGAGGAACACCGGUGGCGAAGGCGGCAUCCUGGACCAACACUGACGCUGAGGAGCGAAAGCCAGGGGAGCAAAGCGGGAUUAGAUACCCCUGU